UACGUAGGGUGCGAGCGUUGUCCGGAAUUAUUGGGCGUAAAGCGCGCGUAGGCGGCCACUUAAGUCGGAUGUGAAAGCCCCUGGCUCAACUGGGGAAGUGCACCCGAAACUGAGCGGCUUGAAUGCAAAAGAGGGUCGCGGAAUUCCCGGUGUAGAGGUGAAGUUCGUAGAUAUCGGGAGGAACACCGGUGGCGAAGGCGGCGACCUGGGUUGACAUUGACGCUGAGGCGCGAAAGCGUGGGGAGCAAACAGG
rnacentral:rRNA from 1 species